rnacentral:rRNA from 1 species
CCUACGGGAGGCAGCAGUGAGGAAUAUUGGUCAAUGGGCUUACGCCUGAACCAGCCAAGUCGCGUGAGGGAAGACUGCCCUAUGGGUUGUAAACCUCUUUUGUCAGGGAGCAACGCCGGCUACGUGUAGCCGGACUGAGAGUACCUGAAGAAAAAGCAUCGGCUAACUCCGUGCCAGCAGCCGCGGUAAUACGGAGGAUGCGAGCGUUAUCCGGAUUUAUUGGGUUUAAAGGGAGCGUAGGUGGAUUGUUAAGUCAGUUGUGAAAGUUUGCGGCUCAACCGUAAAAUUGCAGUUGAAACUGGCAGUCUUGAGUACAGUAGAGGUGGGCGGAAUUCGUGGUGUAGCGGUGAAAUGCUUAGAUAUCACGAAGAACUCCGAUUGCGAAGGCAGUUCACUGGACUGCAACUGACACUGAGGCUCGAAAGUGUGGGUAUCAAACAGGAUUAGAUACCCUAGUAGUC